ACCACGUCAGCAAGGAACGUGGAGGGUUUUUGGACACGUGGAAACUUAAAAAUAACUCUUUUCUUUACGUUCGUUUGUGGCUUUGUACAAACCCGACCUUUCAUAUUUUCUCUCUCUAGCCGACUGCAAAAUUAGAUCGUCACCAGUUACAAAUCAAAGACAACGCCCACUUCUUCCACUAUCUUAUCAUUUACUCUCCUCUUCAAAUUAGUAAUCGAUCAAUAUUCUCAUUUCUAUAUAUCUUCUGCCUCUUCAAAAUUUCUAUAAGAGUAGUUGAGGGAUUCGAUUGUUGAGAUCCUGAAGAAUCCUGAAGAACCUAAAAGGAUUUUUUUGACUACGACGGCACUAAUCCAAAGGCAGAUGAUUGUUAGGAGAUGGAAGAAACAUGGGGAAAAAGAUCCAAUUUUUAUUUUUGCUGUUACUAAACGCCAAGUUAUUUGGUGGUAGAGGAGGACAUCUACUCUGCUUUGCUGUUUAGAAUCAAUUUGAAUCUGAAUCUCCUCACGUCUGCUAGCAGGUUUUUUUUGGCCUCUUCAAUUCUAUUCUAAUCUUCAGUUUGGUCAAUGCUUCGAUAGAUUUACCAGUUAAGAAACCCUCCAAUGAAGUUGUAUGGACAGUUUUCUUUUUUAUUACAUAACCGAAGUUGCAAGCUUCUGUUUCUGUUUGUAUAUCUUGCAAUUACCAUCAUUUUAUUCAUGUAGGCCCUCUUAGGCUAUACACUUAGAUGAUUUCUUCUCCAAUUGAUUCCGAAGGCUUUAGGAUUGAGAGCCUGAAGUUGUGAUUGCACCAAAUUUGCAGCUUUAGAUGUUGUUAUCUCCGUUCUUUAAAUAUGGUAGGCAAUGUCAUCGGAGAUUUCAUUUCAUCAAUAUUUUUGGGAGUGUUGCUGUUACUUUUAGCACAAACUUCUCAAACUGAGACAUAAUAAGGUCUGCAUUUGACUCAUGCAGUACCGUUUGGUUACAUUUGUCCUUAUGAGCCUUACUUUGUUGAUUUUGUGAAUUAUCAAGGAGAGAGGUUAGCUUUCAGGAUAAUGGUUGAGGAGAGACACCAUUGAUGUGGCUUAUAAAGUUUCAGACAUGGAGACUUAAUAGCAUCUGUUGUGGUCGGCUCUGAAAUCUGGUCGUGCUUCUCAGUCGGUGGUGAUGCAAACGUCAAUAAAGGAGGAGAGCUCAUGGGGCUCCUACUUGAUGAAAAGUCGACACUUCUCCAAGGUAACAUCACUGUCCAUCGUCUUAACACAUUUAAACAUUUUCUAGGAGAAUCAACAACCACUUUAAGCUAUUAUAAGCAAAUGAGUAAAUUCAUAGCCUACGCAAAGUACUGGAAAGAUCAUUGUGAAGUUCAAAAAAAAAAGAAGAUCAUUGUGCAAGCCAAAAGGGGAGAAGAAAAAUUAUUUUCUUUAAGUUGAAACGUCAAAGUCGACUCUAAACUUAUUCUGUUUGCUAACUCUUUCAAACAAAAGUGAUCUGAGUUUUUCUUUGGCAUUACAGUUGCUGCUUCUCUAGAAUCUGGAUGUAGCUUCCUGCAGUGAAAACUCAUUAUCUGAGAAUGAAAGAAGUAUGAAAAGAACGAGGACCGCUAAGACGGCUAACAUGAAGAAAUCAAUCAAAAAUACUGAGGUGAAUAAAGAAAACUGAGGAAGCUUAUAUAGCCAAAGUAGAGCAGCUUGCUAAACUCAAAACAAAAGCAGGAUGACGAUAAAGCACAUGUGAAGCUUGCUACACUGCUUCGGCGAAACUUGAGAAGAUAAGGAAGAUGAAAGUACAUCUCUAGAAGGCUUUGAGAAGAUGCAAUUCUAAAGUCCAUUGAUAACUAUACG